rnacentral:ncRNA from 1 species
AAAGUCGGAGGCUUGAAGACGAUCAGAUACCGUUGUGGUUCCAACCAUAAACGAUGCCAGCUGGCGAUGCGGCAGCGGCAUUAUUCCCAUGACCCACCAGGCAGCUUCCAGGAAACCAAAGUCUUUGGGU